GGUACACUGGUUUAGUGGUUAGCAUGUUUGUGUCACACCUCUGUGGUUGGGGGUUCAAAUCCCACCUCUGCCC